rnacentral:rRNA from 1 species
GACGAACGCUGGCGGCGUGCUUAACACAUGCAAGUCGAACGGAAAGGCCUCUUUCGGGGGGUACUCGAGUGGCGAACGGGUGAGUAACACGUGAGUAACCUGCCCUUGACUUUGGGAUAACUUCAGUAAACUGGGGCUAAUACCGGAUAGGAGCUCCUGCUGCAUGGUGGGGGUUGGAAAGUUUCGGCGGUUGGGGAUGGACUCGCAGCUUAUCAGCUUGUUGGUGGGGUAGUGGCUUACCAAGGCUUUGACGGGUAGCCGGCCUGAGAGGGUGACCGGCCACAUUGGGAAUGAGAUACGGCCCAGACUCCUACGGGAGGCAGCAGUGGGGAAUAUUGCACAAUGGGUGGAAGCCUGAUGCAGCAACGCCGUGUGCGGGAUGACGGCCUUCGGGUUGUAAACCGCUUUCGCUCAUGACGAAGCUUUGUGUGACGGUAGUGGGUAAAGAAGCACCGGCUAACUACGUG